rnacentral:misc_RNA from 1 species
AUUGCACCAGUGCAAAACCGCUUAACAAUUUCACUAGCAGGCUCCACUUCAUCCAAAGGAAUACUCGCCCCUGUCUCUUUAAAUUUCAGAAGUCCUCUCAAAUUACAUGCUUUAUUUAAUUCAUGGACAAGCUUGGAGUACUCCUUAUAGGCAUUUACACUAUUAGUUCGAGCAGCCUCUUGCAAUUUUGCUAUGGCAACUGGAUCGUUUAAGUGAAUUUCCCCACCUUUCCUCCAAUGAUAAUCCCCAGGGUUUGGUAAUGCUACAGCUUCUGCACUACCAGG